rnacentral:lncRNA from 1 species
CGAUUUCCAUUUCCAAUUAAGGACCUACCAAAGGUAGUCCAGCUUGUGCCGCCUAAGUGCCUGUGGUAGCCCAACAUCCCUACUCUUGGAAUGUGUCUGUCCCACUCGACCCCGUAGGCUUCUCAAUACCGCACGAGCGAACAUAAGUCGCAUAGGCUAACUCCGGAGUGCCGGCUUGUAGGGAGCGACCCUCACAAGCAUGUGCGAAUGAGCACAAAUGGCAAGCAAGCAAAGUCCAAGUCUCAAGUAUCCAAUCCUCAUGUCUCUAACAUGGUAUAGUCACUAGCAUCCCGAAGAUCUAGUUCAAGUCACAAUGUGAAGUUUCAACAUUUGCUACGCCUAGUGCCCCUUAAUGACACUUAGGCAAUUUGGUGUCCAACAUGUAUCCCAAGUCCCUCGAUGGCCCUAUCCACUAGGUUCACACAUGUCCCGAGCUCAAUGCCGCUUGAUGACAUUAGCUCUCUAAUUCACAUAGCUUCUAAAUGACAAUCUUGUCAAUUUUCAUGUCACAAGUAACUUAGGUUUAAAUGCAUGAAUCCGAACUCAUUUAUACUAUAGAAGCAUGAUACCACGUCUCAUGUAGAAUGCUAAAUGCAACUAUGGCCCAAUAAGCUACUCUCUACUACAUAGAGGUCCAAAAUUUCAUCAUAUAUAACAUAGGCCUUUUAAGCAUUCUAAAAUUCACAAUAAAUACAUAUAACAAGAAUAUGCAUGCUUUUUCAUUUAACAACACUUAAUUAAGCACAAAUGAGAAUUUCUCAUUGUGUGGCUAGGUCAAACCCACCGAACCGUCGCGUAGGGUCUCGAUUCGCCGAACGAAGUUGUCCACGAGCCUCAAGAUACCCUAAAAGUGGUCAGUGAAGAGAUACGGGAGCAUCACGACCAACCGUAAGAUCAAACAUUAACCUAGGAGCAAAAAGGGCCAAAAUUUACCUCAAGAGUAGAAAUCUCUCCCAAAGCUCCAAAAGAGAGCUAGAACCCUUCCAAUCCAAGCCCUAGGAAGGUUCUAAACCAAUCAAUUUGGGUCCAAAAGCCCUAGAUCAAAAAUGCCCAAAAUAAGCCCUAAAUCUCAUUUCUAGGGUUUCAUCUCCCAAAAAUCACAAAAACAAGAAUCUAGAGGAGGGAAACAUGAUACUAACCCUUUGGAAGCUUCAAUCCAAGCCCAAAAUGCCCUAGGGUUGAAGUUUGGUCCACCACUAAGCUCUACAAGCAAGCUCCAAGCCUUGCAAAGGUGGGAAAGAGAGAAAGGGGUUGAGCUCCAAGCUCCCUCAAGCUAGCUCCUCUUCUUCUUCUCCUCCUUCUUCUUCUUCUUCUCUCUCUAGAAAAUGUAGGGAGAGGGUGAGAAUGAGAGAAUGAGAGAGGGAAGAGGGGGAAAUGGCUAAUAAGCCCAUCUAAUGUAACAAAAUCCAGUGAGGCCCCUCAAAAAUCCAAAAUUACAUCAGCCCGAACUGGGCAGUUUUCGCCCAGAGGGACCGGUCUCUCCCCAGCUGGGACCGGUCUCUCGCUGCGAACCCGAAAAACCAGCGUUCGGGAACCGGUCUCUCCCUGCGCGGGACCGGUCUCUCACUGCGAAGACGCGUUCGGGAACCGGUCUCGCCUGCCAGGGACCGGUUGCCUCAGGCCGCCUCAACACUGCUCACUGAGGGGACCGGUCUCUCCUUCCAGGGACCGGUCCCCGAGAGUAAAAACUCUCAGGACUUGUCCAAAGUUCCAGAUUUCGAACUUUUCGGGUCGGGGAACAUUUUACAACCCUCCACCAAGUGUGGAAAAGCUCGAAAUGCAUUCAAACACUCGAACCUCG